AGGAGCCGGCCAGCUCCCCAGCCCAGGCCGGGGGCCGCGCCGCCGCCUCCCCCAGCGUCGCCCCUCGCCUGCCUGCCCGCCUUAAAUGUGACACCGGUGCCUCGGAGUGCGACCCGAAGCCGCCACCGGGGAGGGGACGAGCACCAUGUUGAAUCUAAGCAAAGGCACGGGGAGCCGGAAGGACACCAAGAUGCGGAUCCGGGCCUUUCCGAAUCUUUCAUCCGCAACCUUCCAGUGUGCUUUACAACCUCCUGUGCAGGAAUGGCCUAGCCACUCAAGAGAAAACGAAUGGGACGGUUGGUUCUUCAUUUCCUAGCCAUGGAAGCCCAAAAGAAGAAGUAAUCACCACCAUUGUGAGGAGUGUCAGAACUUCUUGAUUGACAGCUGUGCUGCCCACAGGCCCCCGACCUUUGUAAAGGACUCUGCAGUGGAAAAUGUGCACGCCAAAUGCUCAGCCCUCACUGUGCCCCCUGGGUUAAGUAUCAGACCAUCAGGCAUCCCUGCGGCUGGGCUUGGAGCAUGGAGCGAAGCAUCUGAUCUGUCUUUGGGCCUGCACUUUGACCCCUAAGAGGGCCAGACGAUGAAGAGGCCACUAACGGUGGAUGCUCCUUGGCUGGCUGAAGAGCAUCAGUGACAGCAGAGGGAAAUACCUCUUCUAUUAUUUGCUGCCAAAAAAAAAUCAAAGAGAGAAGAAAGCUUGUAUUUCUUUUCUGACACUCAGCUUACCAAAGGGAGAAACCACUAUGAGUAUGUGGAUGGAAAGGACACACCUUUGGUCAACUGGAUGAGGUAUGUGAACUGUGUCUGGGACGACGAGGAGCAGAACCUGAUGGCCUUGCAGUAUGGCAGAUCUUCUACCAAAUCUGCCAGGUGGUCAGCCGGGCUGUGAACUUCAGGUCUGAUAUGCAGACGAGUGUGGCAAGGAACUUGGCGUCAAGCGGGACAGCAGGGAAAAGAGCGAGCUCGUGGCUGGGAAAGAACCAAAGCCUAAGAUCUACCCUGUGUAUCCGACUCUCUGGACUUCUCAAGUCAAAAAUUCCUCUCAGAUCCUCCUGAGACCAUCUGCAAGAGACCACCUCCAACCAGAGGAUCCCUGCCCGGUCAGUCAACAUCAGCAGCUGUGAUAUUCUGAUCCACACAGCCUGAGUGAAAAACUGGAGCAACGAGAGGGCAAGAAAAGUCCCCAUCCUUCGAUGAAAGGCCGCACAUUUUGCAUAAGGCCGAAGAGGAUUUCAAUGGCCUCUUCCUACUCACCCAAAAGACAAAUGGGGGGUUCUGAGGUGCAUGAGAGAACGACAUAAGAGCCCAGCACAAGCCAGAAACUGAAUGCAGAAGAAACAGGCAAAUUACUUAUGGGGGCAGGGGUAUCAGGAAUUAUAAGACUCAAGUAUGGAGAGUGAGGGUAAGUCUCCAAGGAUAGGUAAAGUCUCAUCACAACCAGAGGACUCACACAUGGGAGAAGCCCUAUGUAUGUAGAAAAUGUGGACAAAGCGUCAGUCAGAAGUCCCAUCUCAUCAGACAACAGAAGACACACACAGGGGAGGAGCCCUAUGUCUGUGGGGAGUGUGGGCAAAAGUCAGUCAGAAGCGCAUCUGAUCAGAAAACAGAAGACACACACAGGGGAGAAGUCCUAUGUUUGAGGAGAGUGGUGCGAAGUUUCAGUGAGAAGUCGGGUGUCGUCACGCAGCAGGGGACAUACACCGGGUCGAAAGCAUAUGUUUGCAGGGAGUGUGGGUGAAGCAUCAGUUAGAAGUCAGUUCUCAUUAGAGACCAGGGGACACACAGGGGAGAAGCCCUGUUUGUGGGGUGCGAGGGUGAAGCUUCAGUGUGAGGUCCAAUCUCAUCAGACUGCAGAAGACACAUACAGGGAAGAAGCCCCGUGUUUGUGGAGAGUGUGGGCGAAGACUCAGAAGUCAGGUGUCCUCACACAGUAGAGUACACACAGAGAGGGUGUGGGGGAAGCUUCAGUUGGAAGUCAGUUCUCACAGACCAGAGGACAUAGGGGAAAGCCCUGUGGGUGUGGGUGAAGCUUCAGUGUGAGAUCCAAUAUCAUCAGACUCCAGAAGACAGACACAUGGGAGAAGCCUCAUGUUUGUGGGGAGUGUGGGUAACGUUUCAGUCAGAAGGCAGGUAUCUUCAUACACCAGAGGGGACACACCGGGGAGAAACCCUAUGUUUGAAGAAAUGUGGGUGAAGCUUCAGGUAGAAGUCAGGUGUCAUCACAGACCAGAGUACACACACGAGGGAGAACCCUGUGUUUGCAGGGAGUGUGAGUGAAAUUUAAGGUAUAAAUCAGGUUUCACAGACGAGAGGACACACAGGGGAGAAGCCCUACGUUUGUAGGGAGUGUGGGUGAAGAUUCAGUUAGAAUUCAGUUCUCAGAGGCCAGAGGAAACAGGGGAGAAGCCCUGUCUGUGGGGGGUGUGGGUGACGGUUCAGUGUGAGUUCCAAUCUCAUCAGACUCCAGAAGACACACGGGACAAGCCCCAUGUUUCUGGGGAGUGUAGGCAAAGGUUCAGUCAGAAGUUCCAUCUCAUCAAACAAGAGACGACACACACAGAGAAGCCCUAUGUUUGUGGAGAGUGUGGGCAAAAUCUCAGAAGUUAGGAGUUCUCACACACUAGAGUACACCCAGGGGAGAAACCCUAUGUUUGCAGGGAGUGUCGGUGAAGCUUCAGUUCGAAGUAAGGUCUCAGGGACGUGAGGACACACAGGAGAAGCCCUGUUUCUGGGGCUUGUGGGUGAAGCUUCAGUGUGAGGUCCAAUCUCAUCAGACUCCAGAAGACACACACAGGGCAGAAACCCGAUGUUUGUGGGGAAUGUGGGGAAAGUUUCAGUAAGAAGUCAGGUGUCAUCACACAGGAGCACACACAUGGGGAAAAAUCGUAUGUUUGCAAAGAGGGUGGGUGAAGCUUUGGCUAGAGUCCGGUUCUCAUUAAAGACCAGAGGACACAGAGGGGAGAAGCCCUGUUUGUGGACAGAUGUGGAUGAAGCUUCAGGGUGAGGUUUAGUCGCAUCAGAAAGAACACUCAGGGGAGAAGCCCGUGUGUGUGGAGAGUGUGGGCGAAGUCUCAGAAGUCAGGUGUGCUCACACAACAGGGUAGGCAGAGGGGAGAAAUGCUAUGUUUGCAGGGAGUGUGGGUGAAGCUUCAGUUGGAAAUCAGUUCUGACAGACGAGAGGACACACAGGGGAAAGCCCUGUUUUUGGUGUGUGUGGGUGAAGCUUCAGUGUGAGCUGCAGUCUCAUCAGACUCCAGAAGACACACACAGGGGAGAAGCCCUAUGUUUGUGGGGAGUGUGCAAAAUUUCAAUCAGAAGGCAGGUGUCUUCACACAGCAGAGGACACACCCCGGGGAGAAACCCUAUGUUUGCAGGGAGUGUGGGUGAUGCUUCAGGUAGAAGUCAGGUCUCAGAAACGAGAGGAGAAACAGGGGAGAAACCCUACGUUUGCAGGGAGUGUGGGUGAAGCUUCAGUUCGAAGUAAGUUCUCAGAGACGAGAGGACACACAGGGCAGAAGCCCUGUUUGUGGGGCUUUUGGGUGAAGCUUCAGUGUGAUGUCCAAUUUCAACAGACUGGAAGACACACACAGGACAGAAACGCCAUGUUUGUGGGGAAUGUGGGGAAAGUUUCAGUAAGAAGUCAGGUGUCAUCACACAGGAGCACACACAUGGGGAGAAAUCAUAUGUUUGCAAGGAGUGUGGGUGAAGCUUGGGCUAGAAGGGCAGUCUCAUAAAAGACCAGAGGACACAGAGGGGAAAAGCCCUGUUUGUGGAGGGAUGUGGGUGAAGCCUCAGUGUGAGGUCUAGUCUCAUCAGAAAGAAGACACACAGGGGAAAAGCCCCGUGUGUGUGGAGAGUGUGGGCGAAGUCUCAGAAGUCAGGUGUGCUCACACAACAGAGUACCAGAGAGGGGGAGAAAGACUAUGUUUGCAGGGAGUGUGGGUGAAGCUUCAGUUGGAAUGCAGUUCUCACAGAACAGAGGACACACAGGCGAGCGCCCUGUUUUUUGGUGUGUGUAGGUGAGCUUCAGUGUGAGCUGCAUUCUCAUCAGACUCCAAAAGACACAGACGGGGGAGAAGCCCCAUGUUUGUGGGGAGUGUGUGCAAAGUUUCAGUGAGAAGGCAGGUGUCUUCACACUGCAGAGGACACACCCCGGGGAGAAACCCUAUGUUUGCAAGGAGUGUCGGUGAAGCUUCAGGUAGAAGUCAGGUGUCAUCACAGACCAGAGUACACCCACCGGGGAGAACCCUGUGUUUGCAGGCACUGUGGGCGAAGCUUCAGUUAGAAGUCAGUUCUCAUUAGAGACGAGCGACAGUCAGGGGAAAAGGCCUGUUUGUGGAGGGUGUGGGUGAAGCGUCAGUGUGAGGUCCAAUCUUAUCAGACUCCAGAAGACACACACACGGGAGCAGCCCCAUGUUUGUGGGGAGUGUGGGCAAAGUUUCUGUCAGAAUUCCCCUCUGAUCAGGGAAGCCACACACAAGGGAGAAGCCCUACAUUUGUAGAGAGAGUGGGCGAAGUUUCAGUCAGAAGCCAGGUGUCCUCACACAGCAGAGGACACACACCAGGGAGAAACCGUCUGUAGGGAGUGUGGGUGAAGCUUCAGUUAGAAGUCAAUUCACAUUAGAGACCAGAGGACACACAGGGGCGAAGCCCUGUUUGUGAGUGGUCUGGGUGAAGCUUCAUAAGAGGUCCAGCCUCAGACUCGUGAAGACACCCACGGGAGAAGCCCCAGGUUUGUGGGGAGUGGGCACACUUUCAGGAGAAGUCCUAUCUCAUCAGACAACACAAGACACACACAGGGGAGAAGGCCGAUGUUUGUGGAGAGAGUGGGCAAAGUUUCAGGCAGAAGUUCCAUCUCAUUAAAUAACAAAGGACAGACUUAGGGGAAAAGCCCUAUGUUUGUGAAGAGUGUGGGCGAGGUAGCAGUCAGAAGUCAGGUGUCCUCACACACUAGAGUACACAGAGAGAGGGGAAACGCUAUGUUUGCAGGGAGUGUGGGUGAAGCUUCAGUUCGAAGUCAGGUCUCAGCGACGAGAGGACACACAGGGCAGAAGCCCUGUUUCUGGGGCUUGUGGGUGAAUCUUCAUUGUGAGGUCCAAUCUCAUCAGACUCCAGAAGACACACACACGGCAGAAACCCCAUGUUUGUGGGGAAUGUGGGGAAAGUUUCAGUAAGAAGUCAGGUGUCAUCACACAGGGGCACACACAUGGGGAGAAAUCGUAUGUUUGCAAGGAGUAUGGGUGAAGCUUUGGCUAGAAGUGCGUUCUCAUUAAAGACCAGAGGACACAGA